ensembl:lncRNA
AAAUUAGAUGGUGCUUGUUGGAAUAAGGAAUGUAUAAAGUUUAAAGUAAAUAAAUGAUUUUAAAGCAUGACACAAAUUAAGCAACAUGAAUAAUUACCAUCAACCUUUUCUGAUCAUUUGGGAUCCAUCUGGGGAGAAUACUCUACCAAAAGAAAUUCCCUCCACAGAAGAACCCUUGACAGGCUCAGCCUGGGUCUGAAACAGUGAUUCUCAGCUCUGAUAACAGUGGAUUCACCUGAGGUACUUUUAAAGCUAGUCAGGCCCACUCCCACACGAGGUUCGAACAGGCAGCUAGGCUGGAAAAUCACUGGCCUCAAAAGAAAAUGGUGGCCUGUGAAAGCUGAUGUCACCAGGGCACUUAGGAACCCCUCAGAGACAGGGUAACCAGUCUCAGCAGAGUGUACCUAAUACUGCCUAUUAUCCAAGAGUCUUGGUUCCCCGAGCUUCUUGUCUCCUCGGGUGAACGACCCUGGCGACUUUGGUGACCAAGCUUGCCACCACUUGUUAUGUAAUCCAGGCAGGGCAACAUCGUUAUAUCUGCUUGUUUCUCUCUCAUCCUUCUUUGGCUUCUCAAUUUCCUCAGAGUCAGCCGUGGGACACAACACUAACAGGAAGAUAGAGAGUUUCUGAUCCCCAUCCUGAAAUUCCAUGAAGUCUGAUCCAUGAGAAAAUGCAAACGUACUGGAAAAGCGGAGAGCGUGGGGCAGUCAGUCAUUCCUGCCUUCGUACCUGUGGGUUUGCUAACUGGCCAACUCCUGACAGUGAGAAGGGAAGGAGGAAGGGACAGGACCAGGGCAGAGGGAGGGAUGAGCUGACACAUGUGAGAGAAUCAGAAGCUGCGGAGCACAAACCGCCCUGGAAGGAAGGAGACAGAAAGAGAAAGGGCAAGCCCCAGGAGGCCAGAUGAGGCCAAGGGCCCCCAAGGUGAAAGAAAACUUGUUGAGGCCCGGAAGCCCACUUGCAUCAUAAUUAGACUGCCUGGCCAAAUGAAAACCACCACCGUCUCUAGGAACAAUUGCCAAGUUUGGGGUACUCGCAAAGCUCUGGGCCAAGGCAGCGUUAGCAGGACCUGCGCUCUCUUCUUGCCUCUGAAUGAAUUUAAAGAGUGAAGACUGAGAACUGCCAGGCUCCGCAACUCUGCCCCUGACUUUGGUUUGGUUUUUACAAGCAAACACGCACACAUAGGCUAUCCUCAGACCUGUGAGCUCAUCAUGAGUGGAGCUCCAUAACCUACCUGCACCAGGGCUGAGCCAGAGCCACCGAACACUGAAUUCCACACUAUGGAAUGUCUUGUCUCAGGAAGUGACAGUGCUACUAC